AAGUCUUGUUCAGUUCAUUACUUUGUCUCUUGACAGUAAGGGUUGUGUGUUUUGUUUUUAAUUUGAUUUUUGUGUCUGUUAAUUUUUUUAUUAAUUUCCAGACAUAGUGUUCAGAGUGGUAGAGACUGAUAAAAGUAGUAUUUAUGUGUUAGGUAAAUGUCAUUUGUCUUCUGCUAGGCUAUUAUUGUGGGAAGGUGAGUAAAUUUAUCUCAAGAGUUGAGCCCAAUUUUCAGUUUUGUUCACCACUGUCUUUAAAUUCCUGUUUGUUCUUAGGUUGGAGAUAGUUUGCUGGUGGGUUUUCACGAUGUUUCUGCUCCACUCAUUAGGGCUUCCCUGUGCCACUGCCCCUCACAGGGAAAUUCUCUAGUCAUCUCCAGUGUUAAUCUGUUGCUUCUGUCUUGGAGGUUGAGGCGUUACGGUUGUGGACGAGGUUCUCUGU
rnacentral:lncRNA from 1 species